UACGGGGGGGGCAAGCGUUGUUCGGAAUUACUGGGCGUAAAGGGCGCGUAGGCGGCCAUCUAAGUCAGACGUGAAAUCCCUCGGCUCAACCGAGGAACUGCGUCUGAUACUGGAAGGCUUGAAUCCGGGAGAGGGAUGUGGAAUUCCAGGUGUAGCGGUGAAAUGCGUAGAUAUCUGGAGGAACACCGGUGGCGAAGGCGGCAUCCUGGACCGGUAUUGACGCUGAGGCG
rnacentral:rRNA from 1 species